rnacentral:tRNA from 3 species
GGGGCUGUAGGGUAGCUUGGCCCAUCCUCGGAGACUGGGGGUCUUUGGACCUGAGUUCAAAUCUCAGCAGCCCCA